CUUGGUCAUUUAGAGGAAGUAAAAGUCGUAACAAGGUUUCCGUAGGUGAACCUGCGGAAGGAUCAUUAAAAAAAAGAGAAACGUCCCGUUUUUUUCAUAAGAAUGGGUUCUAUUCCCUUAAACCGUGUCUACAUACCUUUGUUGCUUUGGCAGGCCGCCUUCGGGCGUCGGCUCCGGCUGAUAGUGUCUGCCAGAGGACCCAAACUCUAUGUUUAGUGAUGUCUGAGUACUAUAUAAUAUUUAAAACUUUCAACAACGGAUCUCUUGGUUCUGGCAUCGAUGAAGAACGCAGCGAAAUGCGAUAAGUAAUGUGAAUUGCAGAAUCCAGUGAAUCAUCGAAUCUUUGAACGCACAUUGCGCCCCUUGGUAUUCCGAGGGGCAUGCCUGUUCGAGCGUCAUUAUAACCACUCAAGCCUGGCUUGGUAUUGGGGUUUUCGCGUGUUCGCGGCCCUUAAAAUCAGUGGCGGUGCCGUCUGGCUCUAAGCGUAGUAAUUUCUCUCGCUAUAGGGUUCCGGUGGUUACUUGCCAAAACCCCCCUAUUUUUUCUAGGUUGACCUCGGAUCAGGUAGGGAUACCCGCUGAACUUAAGCAUAUCAAUAAGCGGAGGA
rnacentral:rRNA from 1 species